rnacentral:rRNA from 1 species
UACACUCCUACGGGAGGCAGCAGUGGGGAAUUUUGGACAAUGGGCGAAAGCCUGAUCCAGCAAUGCCGCGUGCAGGAUGAAGGCCUUCGGGUUGUAAACUGCUUUUGUACGGAACGAAAAAGCUCCUUCUAAUACAGGGGGCCCAUGACGGUACCGUAAGAAUAAGCACCGGCUAACUACGUGCCAGCAGCCGCGGUAAUACGUAGGGUGCGAGCGUUAAUCGGAAUUACUGGGCGUAAAGCGUGCGCAGGCGGUUAUGUAAGACAGAUGUGAAAUCCCCGGGCUCAACCUGGGAACUGCAUUUGUGACUGCAUGGCUAGAGUACGGUAGAGGGGGAUGGAAUUCCGCGUGUAGCAGUGAAAUGCGUAGAUAUGCGGAGGAACACCGAUGGCGAAGGCAAUCCCCUGGACCUGUACUGACGCUCAUGCACGAAAGCGUGGGGAGCAAACAGGAUUAGAAACCCGGGUAGUCCCA